ACUGCUGAAAGCAGUCAUGUGAGAGCUGUAUGUGAACAUAUGUCAACUGCUGCACAUGAGCUCUACCGACAGAGUGCAGAGCUCACGUGACAUGCAACUCACAUCACUAUGACGUGGAGUCGCAGAAUAUGAAUAUGCUAACUAAGAGGACGGCUGAUUGAGAAGACGCAAAGAAGCAGGAGUGGCCAGCCAGCGGGGCCCCGCCUCCUGAAUUCAAAAGGGGAACUUCAUCAGCCAAUAUUUCAGGAACCACAGCACUGAUUAUAGGGUACUCCAGUGUCAAACAUCUUAUCCCCUAUCCACAGGAUAAGCAAUAAUUCUCUCAUCGAGGGGAUCUGUUCGCUGGGACCCCCCGCAAUUUCCUGCAUGACACCCCGACCCUGUACAUGCGGAAAGAUCUGUUAAUCAAGGUGGCAGAAGCCAUGAAGGACCGCCCUCAUGACUCCUGAUUUAUUGCAGGGGUGGGGGCCUCAAGGCCCCACAAUCUUCAGAAAUGGAGGCCCAACUCUGCUGCAUUCUCUAUGGGAGCGCCAGAGGUACAAGUACAGCUUCAGCCCCAUUAGCCCCCCUCCAGUGGCAGCACUGACAUAAAGUGUCGCCAAAAGAAAGAAAGCAAGAGCCAGCGCACGGUCUUCAGAUUUAUUCAAGAGGUAUAAACAGGUAACAGGAUGGCACACAUACCGGCACUCCGGAUAGGAUGUGACGCGUUUCGGGUCACGUGACCCUUUGUCAAACAUUUUUUUUAAAGUGAAAAUAAAUGUGAUUAAGCCUGUCUUCCUAAUAAAAUUUUGAAUCCCCCCUUUUUCCAUUUUUUAAAUAAAAUUAUGUAAACAAAAAUAAACAUAAACAUAUUUGGUA